rnacentral:rRNA from 1 species
GACGUAGGGUCCGAGCGUUGUCCGGAAUUACUGGGCGUAAAGCGCGCGCAGGCGGUUGGUCGCAUCGGCGGUGAAAGCCCCCCGCUCAACGGGGGAGGGUCCGUCGAGAUGGGCCGACUGGAGGCAGGGAGAGGUCAGUGGAAUUCCCAGUGUAGAGGUGAAAUUCGUAGAUAUUGGGAAGAACACCGGUGGCGAAGGCGGCUCACUGGCUCAUUACUGACGCUCAGGCGCGAUAGCGUGGGGAUCAAACAGG